rnacentral:rRNA from 1 species
AGUGAACGCUGGCGGCAGGCCUAACACAUGCAAGUCGAACGGCAGCACAAGACAGCUUGCUCUCUGGGUGGCGAGUGGCGGACGGGAGAGGAAUGCAUCUGAAUCUGCGCAUUUGUUGGGGAUCACCUCGGGAAACCGGGACUAAUACCGCAUACGACCUACGGGUGAAAGCAGGGGAUAUCCGGCCCUUGCGCAUAUGCCUGAGCCGAUGCCGCAUUAGCUAGUGGGAGGGGUAAAGGCCCACCAAGGCGACGAUCCGUAGCUGGUCUGAGAGGAUGAUCAGCCACACUGGAACUGAGACACGGCCCAGACUCCUACGGGAGGCAGCAGUGGGGAAUAUUGGACAAUGGGCGCAAGCCUGAUCCAGCCAUGCCGCGUGUGUGAAGAAGGCCUUCGGGUUGUAAAGCACUUUUGUUGGGAAAGAAGAGCAGCCAGUUAAUACCCGGUUGUCAUGACGGUACCCAAAGAAUAAGCACCGGCUAACUUCGUG